AUUGAACGCUGGCGGCAUGCCUUACACAUGCAAGUCGAACGGCAGCACGGGAGCAAUCCUGGUGGCGAGUGGCGAACGGGUGAGUAAUAUAUCGGAACGUGCCCAGUCGUGGGGAUAACGUAGCGAAAGCUACGCUAAUACCGCAUACGAUCUAUGGAUGAAAGCGGGGGAUCGCAAGACCUCGCGCGAUUGGAGCGGCCGAUAUCAGAUUAGGUAGUUGGUGAGGUAAAGGCUCACCAAGCCGACGAUCUGUAGCUGGUCUGAGAGGACGACCAGCCACACUGGGACUGAGACACGGCCCAGACUCCUACGGGAGGCAGCAGUGGGGAAUUUUGGACAAUGGCGCAAGCCUCGAUCCAGCAAUGCCGCGUGCAGGAUGAAGGCC
rnacentral:rRNA from 1 species